rnacentral:rRNA from 1 species
GAAAGCGAGCGGCGGAUGGGUGAGUAACACGUGGGAACCUGCCCAUAGUCUGGGAUACCACUUGGAAACAGGUGCUAAUACCGGAUAAGAAAGCAGAUCGCAUGAUCAGCUUUUAAAAGGCGGCGUAAGCUGUCGCUAUGGGAUGGCCCCGCGGUGCAUUAGCUAGUUGGUAAGGUAAAGGCUUACCAAGGCGAUGAUGCAUAGCCGAGUUGAGAGACUGAUCGGCCACAUUGGGACUGAGACACGGCCCAAACUCCUACGGGAGGCAGCAGUAGGGAAUCUUCCACAAUGGACGCAAGUCUGAUGGAGCAACGCCGCGUGAGUGAAGAAGGUUUUCGGAUCGUAAAGCUCUGUUGUUGGUGAAGAAGGAUAGAGGUAGUAACUGGCCUUUAUUUGACGGUAAUCAACCAGAAAGUCACGGCUAACUACGUGCCAGCAGCCGCGGUAAUACGUAGGUGGCAAGCGUUGUCCGGAUUUAUUGGGCGUAAAGCGAGCGCAGCGGAAGAAUAAGUCUGAUGUGAAAGCCCUCGGCUUAACCGAGGAACUGCAUCGGAAACUGUUUUCUUGAGUGCAGAAGAGGAGAGUGGAACUCCAUGUGUAGCGGUGGAAUGCGUAGAUAUAUGGAAGAACACCAGUGGCGAAG